AUUCAACACCUUGGACUGAAUCUUGGUGAUUUUUUUUCCCUCUUUUAAUAAUUUUUAAUAUUUUAAUAUUUUAAUAUUUUCUCUUAAUUUCAUCACAGCAUCAGACCCACUGUGAUCCUUUCUCCAUCAAACCCAUGUAAUUUUCGUUUUAUGGAGGAUUUGUUUUCUUCCAUGUAUGAGGUUAUGGAUUUGUGCUUCAAAAUAAGGUGAAGUGUCUUGGGUUGCCAUUACCAUUUCAAAGACUGUAUUGCUAAAUCUAAAGGGGUAUGCUCACUUGGACUUUUCAUGCAUACUUGGUGAGAUUCUCACCUUCUUCUGAGAGCCUAAUAUUUAGGGGCUAACAUUUGUGUACUCUACAAGUUAUAAAUUGAGCUAAACGAAUUACAAAAUAUUUUAGGU